AUACUCUACCCGUACCGCAAACCGACACAGGUAGUCGAGGCGAGUAGCCUCAGGUGAUCGAGAGAACUCUCGUUAAGGAACUCGGCAAAAUGACCCCGUAACUUCGGGAGAAGGGGUGCUGACUUACGUCAGCCGCAGUGAAUAGGCCCAAGCAACUGUUUAUCAAAAACACAGCUCUCUGCUAAAUCGUAAGAUGAUGUAUAGGGGGUGACGCCUGCCCGGUGCUGGAAGGUUAAGAGGAGGGUUUAGCGUAAGCGAAGAUCUGAAUUGAAGCCCCAGUAAACGGCGGCCGUAACUAUAACGGUCCUAAGGUAGCGAAAUUCCUUGUCGGGUAAGUUCCGACCCGCACGAAAGGCGUAAUGAUUUGGGCACUGUCUCAACGAGAGACUCGGUGAAAUUUUAGUACCUGUGAAGAUGCAGGUUACCCGCGACAGGACGGAAAGACCCCAUGGAGCUUUACUGCAGUUUGAUAUUGAGUAUCUGUACCACAUGUACAGGAUAGGUAGGAGCCAUUGAAGUCGGGACGCCAGUUUCGACGGAGGCGUUGUUGGGAUACUCCCCUUGUGUUAUGGCUACUCUAACCCGGAUAGGUUAUCCCUAUCGGAGACA
rnacentral:rRNA from 1 species